AGUCAUAUGCUUGUCUCAAAGAUUAAGCCAUGCAUGUCUCAGUACAAGCCAAAUUAAGGUGAAACCGCGAAAGGCUCAUUAAAUCAGUUAUGGUUCCUUAGAUCGUACACACAUUUACUUGGAUAACUGUGGUAAUUCUAGAGCUAAUACAUGCCAACAGAACUCUGACCGGAGACGGAAAGAGUGCUUUUAUUAGAUCAAAACCAGUCGGUGAUGGGUCUCGGCCUGUCAUCGUACACUUUGGUGACUCUGAAUAACUUUUGCUGAUCGCACGGUCUCGCACCGGCGACGCAUCUUUCAAAUGUCUGCCUUAUCAACUGUCGAUGGUAGGUUCUGCGCCUACCAUGGUUGUAACGGGUAACGGGGAAUCAGGGUUCGAUUCCGGAGAGGGAGCCUGAGAAACGGCUACCACAUCCAAGGAAGGCAGCAGGCGCGCAAAUUACCCACUCCCAGCACGGGGAGGUAGUGACGAAAAAUAACGAUACGGGACUCAUCCGAGGCCCCGUAAUCGGAAUGAGUACACUCUAAACCCAUUAACAAGUAUCAAUUGGAGGGUAAGUCUGGUGCCAGCAGCCGCGGUAACUCCAGCUCCAAUAGCGUAU
rnacentral:rRNA from 1 species